rnacentral:tRNA from 1 species
GCCUGGGUGGCUCAGUCGGUUAAGCAUCAGACUUCAGUUCAGGUCAUGAUCUCAUGGUCCGUGGGUUCAAGCCCCACAUCUGGCU